CAUGUCUCAGUGUAAGCUUAAAUACGGUGAAUCUGAGAAUGGGUCAUUAAUGCAGUUAUAGUUUAUUUGAUGGUCACUCUUACAUGGAUAAGGGUGGUAAUUUUAGAGCUAAUACAUGCAUCAUAACCUGAGUUAGGAAGGGUUGUGUUUAUUUGUUACAGAACCAUCCCAUGUUCUGCAUGGUUUUGUGGUGACUCAUUAUAACCGAUGAAUCGUAUGGGUUGGCUGAUGUUGCAUCAUUCAAGUUUCUGAUCAUUCAGCUUCCGACGGUAUGGUAUUGGCUUUCUGUGGCAACGACCGGGUACCGGAGAAUUAGGGUUUGAUUCUGGAGAGGGAACCUGAGAAACGGCUAACACAUGUUAGGAAGGCAGCAGGCGCGCAAAUUAUCCAAUCGUGACACAGGGAGGUAGUGACAAGAAAUAACAAUACAGGGCAAUACUGUCUCUGUAAUUGGAUUGAGUAGAAUUUAAAUCUAUUUAUGAGUAUCAA
rnacentral:rRNA from 1 species